rnacentral:lncRNA from 1 species
GGAACUGAAAAAAAAGCAGAUGAGGAGACGGACCUUUUCAGUUUCGCAGCGAGGUCUAGUAACUUCGUCAUCGGGCAAGGUGAUGGAUGUUGCUGCUUGUUGAGUUUUUCAUCUCCUGUCAAGUUUGCGCCUGAAAGAAGAGGUGAUGGAGGGACACACUGAGGGCCCAUGCACCUUCACAUUCAGUCGUACCUUUGGACUGUGUUAAAUAUUUCAAUAUUGGAACAGUUGAUUAAUAGUAAUUGUU